GAUGAACGCUGGCGGCGUGCCUAAUACAUGCAAGUCGAGCGAACAGAUGAGGAGCUUGCUCCUCUGACGUUAGCGGCGGACGGGUGAGUAACACGUGGAUAACCUACCUAUAAGACUGGGAUAACUUCGGGAAACCGGAGCUAAUACCGGAUAAUAUAUUGAACCGCAUGGUUCAAUAGUGAAAGACGGUUUUGCUGUCACUUAUAGAUGGAUCCGCGCCGCAUUAGCUAGUUGGUAAGGUAACGGCUUACCAAGGCAACGAUGCGUAGCCGACCUGAGAGGGUGAUCGGCCACACUGGAACUGAGACACGGUCCAGACUCCUACGGGAGGCAGCAGUAGGGAAUCUUCCGCAAUGGGCGAAAGCCUGACGGAGCAACGCCGCGUGAGUGAUGAAGGUCUUCGGAUCGUAAAACUCUGUUAUUAGGGAAGAACAAAUGUGUAAGUAACUAUGCACGUCUGGACGGUACCUAAUCAGAAAGCCACGGCUAACUACG
rnacentral:rRNA from 1 species